GGGGAUGUAGCUCAGUUGGCUAGAGCAUUAGAUUUGCAUUCUAAGGGUCGUGGGUUCGACUCCCUCCAUCUCCA
rnacentral:tRNA from 1 species